CACUAGAAGUCGGACGCGAAACGUUUUUCGCUAAUUUUUCACAUCAACUCUCCAUUUUGGAUUUUUCGGUGUGUGACGUGCAGGAAGAAAAAAGGUGAUUUUUAGUGGAAAAAACUAAUUUUUACUCGCCGAAAGCUGCGGAAAUUGAAGUUGCCAAGAAUUAUUGCCAGCAACAAUGGUCGGUUCGCGUGUUUAUGUGGGAGGGCUGCCGCACGGCGUACGAGAACGCGACCUGGAACGGUUUUUCAAGGGCUACGGUAGAACCCGGGAUAUUCUGAUCAAGAAUGGCUAUGGUUUUGUGGAAUUUGAAGACUACCGUGACGCAGAUGAUGCAGUGUAUGAGUUGAACGGGAAGGAAAUACUCGGGGAAAGAGUGACCGUCGAACCGGCUCGCGGAACAGCACGUGGGCCCGGUGGGCGUCGUGAUCAAGACAGACACGAUCGUUACGAUCGCCGUGGCGGUGGAGGCGGAGGCGGAGGAGGACGUUACGACAAAAAUAGAAGCAAUUCCAGGAACAGCUCUCGCUACGGGCCACCACUCCGGACCGAGUACCGUUUGACGGUGGAGAAUCUUUCGUCGCGUGUUAGUUGGCAGGCAACCCUCCUUUCAUAAUCUGGGGUUUGCAGUGAAGAACGGUAAACACUGACAGGAAGAGCCAUGAACCCGCAAAGCAACCACGUGAUGAUGAUGAUGAUGAUGUGAUAGCAAUGACCAAAGGCCGGCCCAAUCGGAAUUCCAAUUCAGGCAAACGACAGUCCAUCCCUUAGUAUGACACAAGUUGAAGGCAAUUUACUAAGCCGACAGGCAGUCGGAUUACCCCUAAGCUGGUCUACCACUGGCACCCAGGCAUACAUGCGAGGACUAAUGCCGAAUGACUGAAGAGCUAAUGUUUCCUAUCAUCAUCCGUGGUUCUCGGAGGUCCGUACCCCUUUCUCGGCUAGUAGAGUAACACGCGCGUUCGGUUAUACUGCUUCGCACAGAAGUCUCCACCCGCCUAGUGAUCAACCCCAGACAAGGAGUGCCUAUAGUCACACAGAGCCAUUGAAGAGAGCGCAUAGACACCUUUUGCACGGUUAUCGAACCUGAUGGUCCUUUUCGAUACACUGGGGGAGAUGGUCUUCGCCAGACUUAAGCAAAAUUUAUCCAUUACACUGAUGCGCGCGCCACAUGGUCUCAGAGGAAACGUGAGAGCAAGAGAAUCAAAUAGAGGUCGCCCCAUACAAAGCUAUAGACACAGAGAGAGAAAGAGUGAGAGGGAUUUUCCAGAGUCAGGGUCCAGGACUACCCAAGCCUAUUUUAAGUUCAUCCUCUGCGUAGCGACGAGCCUUUUUUCGAUGAUGUUCCACGUGACCAACCACCCCUUCUGGGACAACGUAGUCUAACAGCAGACGGUGGACUGUCGUCGUAGUCCGCGCAUCAUCUGUUGCGUGCACAAUUAUCGGUUGCCAUCCAACAAGAGCUAGAGAGAAACAUAUUUUCUUCAUUUCUUUUGAAUAACACAUUAGUUUAGCCCAUUUCUGGUUUUGGUAACACCGGUUGUUCGUUUUGGGGACAUCCGCUUACGAAGAAAUGGAGCCAGUAUCGAUCGUUCGCCCCUUCCAUUGUUUGGAUUCACCCGUCCACGGUGCGCUCUGAGGCACGCCAAACAUCAUUUGACGAUGAUCCGGUUGGUCGUCCGCAUUCACUGAACACAGAAUACCGCAAAUGCACACUGAACCGAGUGACGAGCGCAGAAGACACAGAGAGAGAGAAAGACAGACAGACCGCAAGUGGCCACAUUUCCUAGGGUCCCUUUCUUGAGUGAGAGACACACGUGCGACAAUCCCACGCUAGAACGCAGUAUGUGUGUGUGUCCUGGCCAAAAGGUAAAGGUCGAUUUUCAUUCACUUUCAUUAGAUACAUUUCUUUUGUCAAAAACAAAACAAAAACAGCCAAGACCAGUGAUUCACCGUAAAACUAACUUUUCUACAUCGCCUUUUUGUUUGAAUUGUCGUUAAGAGAGAGAGAAAGAUACGAGCGCAUACGAUGAAGAUUACGUGAAUCUAGUCAUAAUGAAAAGAAUCAGCGAGAGAGGACAAGCGAGGGAGGAUGAAACCAGUAGAGGACAUGCCCAAAACAAAGGACAAGAAUGUUUCCACACCACAAAGCCACAACAUGACUAGACUCGGUGCCAUUUAUAGUCGAUGAACCAAGCGAAGCCCUAAAACGAUGAGAUGUGAGAUCAUGUCAAGACGGUCGGUCAACGAAAACUACUACCCGAGCACUGCGAUCUUGAACGACAGGAGCAAUUGAUCUAUUCACCAAACACUUCAAAAGAAGCUUGAGCUUGGUCCUAUGAAAUAGCAAUAUGAUGCCAAUAACGGAACUGACCCACUUCGCCAAAUAACAAUCAGACGCCAUCGGAAGUGAUGUGAUGACCAAAGCGAAGCAAUUUCAUCUUAGCCUGAGAGAAAAAGAGAGCCUACCUGAAAAAAACUGGCGUCCGAAAGGAGACAUGAUUCUUUUCAUUAUGACAUCCGAUAGAUUCGUUCCCAAUUCAUUCGGUCAGGCAGAAGAGCAGGUUUCGCUUAGCAGUUUCGUGUGAAAAUAAGAACUCGCGUAGUUAGAGAUGAGAGACUUUGUUAUCUAGCUUAACUAAGAAGAUGGCGUUUUCCUCGAUAUACUAAUUGUUUCUUUUUUGUUAUCUUGCUAUUUUUGUUCCAUAAACAAUUGAACGUUCAGGACCUGAAAGACUACAUGCGCCAAGCAGGAGAGGUUACCUACGCCGA